rnacentral:rRNA from 1 species
GUAAAUAAUUAAGGGCGUAUGGUGGAUGCCUAGGCUCUCAGAGGCGAUGAAGGACGUGAUAAGCUGCGAAAAGCUCCGUUUAGGUGCAAAUAACCUUUGAUGCGGAGAUCUCCGAAUGGGAUAACCCAAUAUGUUGAAGACAUAUUAUACCGUAAGGUAGGCAAACGCAGGGAACUGAAACAUCUAAGUACCUGCAGGAGAAGAAAACAAACGUGAUUCCCCCAGUAGCGGCGAGCGACCGGGGAUAAGCCCAAACCGUUAUUGUUUCGGCAGUAGCGGGGUAGUAGGACUGCGACAUUGAUGAAAUAAAUGAAAUGGAACACCUUGGAAAAUGUGAUCACAGAGGGUGAUAAUCCCGUACAUGCAAGUUUAUGAAUCAUAGCAGUAUCCUGAGUAAGUCGGGACACGUGUAAUCCUGACCGAAUCCGCCGGGACCAUCCGGCAAGGCUAAAUACUCCUGAGAGACCGAUAGUGAACCAGUACCGUGAGGGAAAGGUGAAAAGCACUUCGAACAGAAGAGUGAAAUAGUCCCUGAACCCAUACGCCUACAAGCAGUCGGAGCCGCUUCGUGCGGUGACGGCGUGCCUUUUGCAUAAUGAGCCUACGAGUUACUCAUCACCAGCGAGGUUAAGUACUUCAGGUACGUAAGCCGAAGCGAAAGCGAGUCUGAAUAGGGCGUCAAGUUGGUGGUGGUAGACGCGAAACCUUAGUGAUCUACCCAUGGGCAGGGUGAAGGUUUGGUAACACAAACUGGAGGCCCGAACCGGUAAACGUUGAAAAGUUUUCGGAUGACCUGUGGGUAGGGGUGAAAGGCCAAUCAAACUGGGAAAUAGCUCGUACUCUCCGAAAUGCAUUUAGGUGCAGCCUCUGUUGUUUUGUUCUAGAGGUAGAGCUACUGAUUGGAUGCGAGGGCUUCACCGCCUAUCAAAUCCGGCCAAACUCCGAAUGCUAGAACAUGAAGACAGGGAGUGAGCCAGCGGGUGCUAAGGUCCGUUGACGAAAGAGGGAGAACUCAGACCAUCAGCUAAGGUCCCCAAUUGUAUGCUAAGUUGGAAUUAAAACGGGGUGGGACUGCUUAGACAGCUAGGAUGUUGGCUUGGAAGCAGCCAUUCAUUUAAAGAGUGCGUAACAGCUCACUAGUCGAGCGGUCCUGCAUGGAUAAUACGCGGGCAUAAGCAUAUAACCGAAGCUAUGGGAUUGUAGAUGAUACAAUCGGUAGGAGAGCAUUCCAUUCAGCGUAGAAGCAGUAUCGUGAGGUAUUGUGGAGCGGAUGGAAAAGCAAAUGUAGGCAUAAGUAACGAUAAUGCGGGUGAGAACCCCGCACGCCGAAAGAUCAAGGAUUCCCCGGCAAUGUCAAUCAUCCGGGGGUAAGUCGGAUCCUAAGGGUAAGCCGAGUGGCGAUCCCGAUGGCAAACAGGUUAAUAUUCCUGUACUGAUCAUAACUGCGAUGCAGCGACGCAGAGGUGACACUGCUGCGUACUGACGGAAUAGUACGUUGAAACCCGUAUUCUUUGAUACCGGUAGUGAAGCACGCCGGUAGAGAUGAAAGGUGAUAGUACCGCAAUGCUUCGGUUGCGCGGAUAACGCAGGUAAGCUGACUGCCAAGAAAACCUGCUAAGCUUCAGGUAAUGAUCAUCCGUACUGUAAACGGACACACGUGAUCAGGUAGAAAAUACUAAGGCGCUCGAGAGAUUCAUGGUUAAGGAACUAGGCAAAAUGGUCCUGUAACUUCGGGAUAAAGGACGCUCUUGUGAAAGAGCCGCAGAUAAUAGGCCCAGGCGACUGUUUACCAAAAACACAUGGCUAUGCUAAUUCGCAAGAAGAUGUAUAUGGCCUGACACCUGCCCGGUGCCGGAAGGUUAAGAGGAGAGCUCAGAUGUAAGUCGAAGGUUUGAAUUGAAGCCCCGGUAAACGGCGGCCGUAACUAUAACGGUCCUAAGGUAGCGAAAUUCCUUGUCGGGUAAGUUCCG